UACAGAGGGUGCGAGCGUUAAUCGGAAUUACUGGGCGUAAAGCGCGCGUAGGCGGCUUUGCAAGUCGGGUGUGAAAUCCCCAGGCUUAACCUGGGAACUGCAUUCGAGACUGCAUUGCUAGAGUAUGGGAGAGGGAAGUGGAAUUUCCGGUGUAGCGGUGAAAUGCGUAGAUAUCGGAAGGAACAUCAGUGGCGAAAGCGACUUCCUGGACCAAUACUGACGCUCAUGUGCGAGAGCGUGGGGAGCAAACAGG
rnacentral:rRNA from 1 species